AGAUAGAGAAAAAAAAACGUCUAAUU
rnacentral:sRNA from 1 species